GAUGAACGCUGGCGGCGUGCCUAAUACAUGCAAGUCGAGCGAACAGACGAGGAGCUUGCUCCUCUGACGUUAGCGGCGGACGGGUGAGUAACACGUGGAUAACCUACCUAUAAGACUGGGAUAACUUCGGGAAACCGGAGCUAAUACCGGAUAAUAUAUUGAACCGCAUGGUUCAAUAGUGAAAGACGGUUUUGCUGUCACUUAUAGAUGGAUCCGCGCCGCAUUAGCUAGUUGGUAAGGUAACGGCUUACCAAGGCAACGAUGCGUAGCCGACCUGAGAGGGUGAUUGGCCACACUGGAACUGAGACACGGUCCAGACUCCUACGGGAGGCAGCAGUAGGGAAUCUUCCGCAAUGGGCGCAAGCCUGACGGAGCAACGCCGCGUGAGUGAUGAAGGUCUUCGGAUCGUAAAACUCUGUUAUUAGGGAAGAACAAAUGUGUAAGUAACUAUGCCCGUCUUGACGGUACCUAAUCAGAAAGCCCCGGCUAACUACGUG
rnacentral:rRNA from 1 species